UCUUUCCCAGGGAAAAGUGCGGCGCGCUGCCCCUUUGCCGAGCCCUCCCAAUUACCCUCAUUGUAAGCGUUCUACCUGAAAGAAGCGUGCAAAGCCCGGCGCUUGCGUCCCGGUCUGCCAGCUACGGCGGCCACCGCGCAGCCUGCCCCCGAGGCAGCAGCAGCCACUAACAGGGCGGUGGGCCCGGCCAGCACCUUCCCAUCAAACCCCGCGCUUCCGCCGCCAGCCAAUGGGCGCCGCGGCCGGUGCGCGCCGCUCCCCGGUCACGUGACUGUGACCGGCGCAGACUGUUGGGGCCGCCAGUCGGGCGUUUAGCCGGGGGUGCCUGUCCCUGUGGCUUCCGCGGCUAAGCAGGGUGCUGCUGCUCGUCGUGUUUCAGAGGUCGUGAUAGGUGAGCCCACGAAUAAACCACCCAGGCUACAUUCACCUCAGAUUUGAAGAAACAUUGGAUAAAGAGAGUUCGAUGUCCUAGUCAACUGGAAAUGACAAGUCUAAAGAACAAAAGAUACUUGAACCACACAAAGCAACAAUGAAGAAGGGUAGAAAAGCAAGCAAAAGCAAAACCAAGCAAAAGUUUUACCUCUGUGACAUGUGUUAAGCCUUUGUGCAAAUAUUUUUCUUGGGAUUUUUUUUUUUUUAGUUACCUAGGCGUUUUAAAAUAAUGUUUCCAUGAAUUUCAAAGACUAUAAUUGUGUGAAUGUGCUAUAUUUAAACUUUGACAGUGCAAGCAAAUAAGGUGAAGUAAGAAACUGAACGUAGGAUCUAGCUGCUAAGAAUAAUAUACUGGAAGCUACCAGAUAAUUCACUGUGGAAUUGCUUGCCCUAACUUAACAGCUUUUUAAGCUUGAAAGGAUGAAGGGCAGGGAACCCAAGUUUACUUCUUGUGUACUCUGGGUCAGGCACUUUACGAAUCUAGAAGAAAAUGAAAAGAAACAUUUCAUUUCUUUUAAUAUGGAAAUUUAACCAUUUUGUUUCUCAUUCUAUGCUAUUUCAAAGUCUCUUUUUUAAAGGCCUCUGCAGCUAUGCAAAUAUAUCUCCUCACCUCAGGAAUGUAUUUUCCUAAAAUAACAAAUAAAAAAUGUUUUCCACUCGCUAA